UUUAUUUACAUAUACUAUUUCAAAAUAUUUGAAACAAGACAAAUUUUAUUAAAGAAAAAAAUUAAAUUAAUUACCAAAUUUGACGUCUCUAUACUAAAUUAAACACAAAUUUUAAAAAUACAGAUUUAAUUUAUUUUUAAUAGUAAAUUACUUAGCCGAAACUUCGUAGACAAAUUAAAUGAAAAUAAAGUUAUUGAUUUUUAUUUUUCAUUUUUUUAAUUGCAGCGAUUUUUCGUUCAUUGUUGUACGAAGCAUGUGGUCGAAUAGUGAACCCGAUUUACGGUUCAGUUGGUUUAUUAUGGUCUGGGAGCUGGCAACUUUGUCAAGCCGCUGUGGAAGCCGUUUUGAAAGGCGCGCCGAUUACGCCAAUAACUUCGGAAGCAGCUGCUAAUGGGCGGGGUCCACCUCUCAAGGCGUAUGACAUACGCCACGUGUCGAAAGAAGAGAACUCCGCCGUUUCGAACGAAACUCAGCAGCGAGUCAAGACUCGGUCUCGUGUGAAGCGAUCGAACUUAGCCAAGCCGAAGUUAACAACUGAUAAUGAGGAAAAAAGUAGCAAUAACAAAGGAAUUGAAUCCGGUUCUGUUGAACCGGUUGAAGAAGUGAUGAACCGGUCCGCGAGUCAUGAAUCAUCGCUAAGCCACCAGUCUGAGGCGGUAAAUGCGGCGGCGGUGGAUGGAGAGAGUAAAGAGAGUGAUGAAAGUAUGGCUUCGGUUGAAACGGCUGAGACUUCGAUGAACUUAUUUAGAGAUGAACCGGAGUCAACCAGAGAUUUGAAACGGGUGGACCGAACCGGUGAAAGUGGAGAGGAAAAUGUUGGUUUAGAAUUGACUCUUGGGUUUGAACCGGUUUCACGUGUUCAUCACGUGGUUCCUGUGAAGAAAAGAAGAGUUGAAUUGAAAGAUUGUGGUGGCGGCUCAUGGAAGAUUGAGCUGGGGCUUCCAUAAACGGCUUAAGGGGCUUUGUGUUCCGGUUCAGUUUUGACUUAAUCGGCUUUCUAUCAUUUGUACAAGUGAAGAGAUCAUCAGAACCGUUUCUUGUUUAGUUUUUUUUUUUUUUUUUUUAUUUACUUUUUUUAAUUACCUUUUAACUUUUUUGGGGGGCAUUUUGGGUUAAUUAACUCUUUUUUUUCUCUUUCUAUUUUAAGAAAAUGUGAAUGUGGUGAUGUCUAAACUACAAACAUGGGAACUAUGCGUCUCUAUACUAAAUUAAACACAAAUUUUAAAAAUACAGAUUUAAUUUAUUUUUAAUAGUAAAUUACUUAGCCGAAACUUCGUAGACAAAUUAAAUGAAAAUAAAGUUAUUGAUUUUUAUUUUUCAUUUUUUUAAUUGCAGCGAUUUUUCGUUCAUUGUUGUACGAAGCAUGUGGUCGAAUAGUGAACCCGAUUUACGGUUCAGUUGGUUUAUUAUGGUCUGGGAGCUGGCAACUUUGUCAAGCCGCUGUGGAAGCCGUUUUGAAAGGCGCGCCGAUUACGCCAAUAACUUCGGAAGCAGCUGCUAAUGGGCGGGGUCCACCUCUCAAGGCGUAUGACAUACGCCACGUGUCGAAAGAAGAGAACUCCGCCGUUUCGAACGAAACUCAGCAGCGAGUCAAGACUCGGUCUCGUGUGAAGCGAUCGAACUUAGCCAAGCCGAAGUUAACAACUGAUAAUGAGGAAAAAAGUA
rnacentral:lncRNA from 1 species